rnacentral:rRNA from 1 species
AUACAGAGGGUGCAAGCGUUAAUCGGAUUUACUGGGCGUAAAGCGCGCGUAGGUGGCUAAUUAAGUCAAAUGUGAAAUCCCCGAGCUUAACUUGGGAAUUGCAUUCGAUACUGGUUAGCUAGAGUAUGGGAGAGGAUGGUAGAAUUCCAGGUGUAGCGGUGAAAUGCGUAGAGAUCUGGAGGAAUACCGAUGGCGAAGGCGGCCAUCUGGCCUAAUACUGACCCUGAGGUGCGAAAGCAUGGGGAGCAAACAGGAUUAGAUACCCUGGUAGUCCAUGCCGUAAACGAUGUCUACUAGCCGUUGGGGCCCUUGAGGCUUUAGUGGCGCAGCUAACGCGAUAAGUAGACCGCCUGGGGAGUACGGUCGCAAGACUAAAACUCAAAUGAAUUGACGGGG